UACGUAGGGUGCAAGCGUUGUCCGGAAUUAUCGGGCGUAAAGAGCUCGUAGGCGGUUUGUCGCGUCUGCUGUGAAAACCCGAGGCUCAACCUCGGGCCUGCAGUGGGUACGGGCAGACUAGAGUGCGGUAGGGGAGAUUGGAAUUCCUGGUGUAGCGGUGGAAUGCGCAGAUAUCAGGAGGAACACCGGUGGCGAAGGCGGCUAUCUGGACAGAGUCUGACGCUGAGGCGCGAAAGCUAGGGGAGCAAACAGG
rnacentral:rRNA from 1 species